rnacentral:rRNA from 1 species
AUUGAACGCUGGGGGCAUGCCUUACACAUGCAAGUCGAACGGCAGCACGGGUGCUUGCACCUGGUGGCGAGUGGCGAACGGGUGAGUAAUACAUCGGAACAUGUCCUGUAGUGGGGGAUAGCCCGGCGAAAGCCGGAUUAAUACCGCAUACGAACUACGGAUGAAAGCGGGGGACCUUCGGGCCUCGCGCUAUAGGGUUGGCUGAAGGCGGAUUAGCUAGUUGGUGGGGUAAAGGCCUACCAAGGCGACGAUCAGUAGCCGGUCUGAGAGGACGAUCAGCCACACUGGGACUGAGACACGGCCCAGCCUCCUACGGGAGGCAGCAGUGGGGAAUUUUGGACAAUGGGCGAAAGCCUGAUCCAGCAAUGCCGCGUGUGUGAAGAAGGCCUUCGGGUUGUAAAGCACUUUUGUCCGGAAAGAAAUCCUUGGCCCUAAUACGGUCGGGGGAUGACGGUACCGGAAGAAUAAGCACCGGCUAACUACGUG